rnacentral:rRNA from 1 species
GACGAACGCUGGCGGCGUGCUUCAUACAUGCAAGUCGAACGAGAAGCUGACUUCGGUCAGUGGAAAGUGGCGGACGGGCGAGUAAUAUGUAGGAAAUCUGCCUUCAGGAGGGGGACAACAGAGGGAAACUUCUGCUAAUACCCCAUAUGAGCGUAGCUGAAAUGCUAUUCUUGAAAACUCCGGUGCCUAAAGAUGAGCCUGCAUCUGAUUAGCUAGUUGGUAGUGUAAUGGACUACCAAGGCGACGAUCAGUAGCUGGUUCGGGAGUAUGAUCAGCCACAAUCGGACGGAGACACGGGCCAGACACCUACGGGAGGCAGCAGUAGGGAAUUUUGCGCAAUGGGCGAAAGCCUGACGCAGCCACGCCGCGUGAACGAUUAAGCCCUUCGGGGUGUCAAGUUCUGUCAGUAGGGACGAAACUUGACGGUACCCACAGAGGAAGCACCGGCUAACUCCGUG